rnacentral:misc_RNA from 1 species
UCAAACUUGGUCAUUUAGAGGAAGUAAAAGUCGUAACAAGGUUUUCGUAGGUGAACCUGCGGAAGGAUCAUUAGUGAAUUCUGGGAGUCCCUCUUUAUCAGAGAAGGCCCAAUCCACUAUUUCACACACCCUUUGUGCAAUUGUCCCCAUUAUUUUAACCCUUAUGCAUCUUAAAAGCAAGUUGUUUUUGUACAAGUUGAUCAAAGAAAGAAAAACUUUCAGCAAUGGAUCUCUUGGCUCUCGCAUCGAUGAAGAACGCAGC